rnacentral:rRNA from 1 species
UACGAAGGGGGCUAGCGUUGCUCGGAAUCACUGGGCGUAAAGCGCACGUAGGCGGAUUGUUAAGUCAGGGGUGAAAUCCUGGAGCUCAACUCCAGAACUGCCUUUGAUACUGGCGAUCUUGAGUCCGGGAGAGGUGAGUGGAACUGCGAGUGUAGAGGUGAAAUUCGUAGAUAUUCGCAAGAACACCAGUGGCGAAGGCGGCUCACUGGCCCAUAACUGACGCUGAGGCACGAAAGCGUGGGGAGCAAACAGG